UACGUAGGGUGCGAGCGUUAAUCGGAAUUACUGGGCGUAAAGCGUGCGCAGGCGGUUCGCAAAGUCUGAUGUGAAAGCCCCGGGCUCAACCUGGGAACUGCAUUGGAAACUAACGGGCUCGAGUGUGGCAGAGGGGGGUGGAAUUCCACGUGUAGCAGUGAAAUGCGUAGAGAUGUGGAGGAACACCGAUGGCGAAGGCGGCCUUCUGGACAGUGACUGACGCUGAGACGCGAAAGCGUGGGGAGCAAACAGG
rnacentral:rRNA from 1 species